GGGAGGAGUAAUUAGAAUCAAGAGCAGAAACAAAUGGAGUUUGUAUGGACUCUAGCAGCGCUUCUUGCAGCCCUAGCUCUGUUGGUAGCUUUGCUGUUACUCUGUCCAAUCAUCGUUGAAGCCUACAAGCAAAGACACCAUAAUAAGUACGUUGAUGCUCCUGCUAUCUUCGAGGAUCCGAAUUCGUUGAAAAAGGUUCCGUGCCCCCACAUCCAUGACCCGGCAGAGAAGUAUAUAUCUUUGAUAGUUCCUGCAUUUAACGAAGAACAUAGGCUUCCUGCAGCACUUGAUGAAACCAUGAAGUAGGUUGAAGCAUAUUAAUUUAUAACCUUCGUUUUCCUUUCCAUUGAGUAUGUUAUAACAGUGCAAGAGGUUUUUCUGUGUUACGGAAGCAUAGCUUGCAGUGCCAAGAAAAAGAAAAAGGAAAAUUAAGAGUAUUUUUUUUAUCCAUCAUCAUUGCAUGAAUGAUAACAAUAUAGUUAUGUAAAAUAUGUGCAAAAUAGUUAAGCUAACACAAUCCCCAAACUGGGAACCUGGCGACAAGACACCAUAUUUUUAGCUUGUAGCUUGCAGCUGUAAAUGCGAAUGAUCAAAUCUUGGCACACUAGAGACUCCUUCAAAUGCUGUUUUCAUUGUAUAGCU
rnacentral:misc_RNA from 1 species